rnacentral:rRNA from 1 species
CAGCCGUAAACAAUGUGCGUUAGGUGUGUCGGUAACCACGUGUUACUGAUGCGCCGAAGAGAAAUCGUGAAACGCACCACCUGGGAAGUACGGUCGCAAGGCUGAAACUUAAAGGAAUUGGCGGGGGAGCACCACAACAGGUGGAGCCUGCGGUUUAAUUGGACUCAACGCCGGGAAGCUCACCGGAUAAGACAGCGGAAUGAUUGCCGGGCUGAAGACUCCGCAUGACUAGCUGAGAGGAGGUGCAUGGCGUAGACGUCU